UACGGAGGGUGCAAGCGUUAUCCGGAUUCACUGGGUUUAAAGGGAGCGUAGGUGGGCUGGUAAGUCAGUGGUGAAAUCUCCGUGCUUAACAUGGAAACUGCCAUUGAUACUACUGGUCUUGAAUUUUCUGGAGGUAAGCGGAAUAUGUCAUGUAGCGGUGAAAUGCUUAGAUAUCAAGAGGAACACCUGCGGCGAAGGCGGGUUGCUGGGCCGACACUGACGCUGAGGCGCGAAAGCCAGGGGAGCGAACGGG
rnacentral:rRNA from 1 species